UACGAAGGGGGCUAGCGUUGUUCGGAAUUACUGGGCGUAAAGCGCGCGCAGGCGGUUUUUCAAGUCAGUGGUGAAAGCCCGGAGCUCAACUCCAGAACUGCCCUUGAUACUGGCGGUCUCGAGUCCGGGAGAGGUGAGUGGAACUGCGAGUGUAGAGGUGAAAUUCGUAGAUAUUCGCAAGAACACCAGUGGCGAAGGCGGCUCACUGGCCCGGUACUGACGCUGAGGUGCGAAAGCGUGGGGAGCAAACAGG
rnacentral:rRNA from 1 species